GAUGAACGCUGACAGAAUGCUUAACACAUGCAAGUCUUUGGCGAAGCUGUGCUUGCACAGCCUAGCCAAGGCGGACGGGUGAGUAACGCGUAAGGAACUUGCCCUGCGGUCAGGGAUAACAGACGGAAACGACUGAUAAGACCUGGUAAAGUCAGGCGGACUCAUGUCCAGCCUGAUGAAAAGAGAUGCUGCAGGAGAGCCUUGCGUCCUAUUAGCUUGUUGGUGGGGUAACGGCCCACCAAGGCGAUGAUAGGUAGCCGGCCUGAGAGGGUGGACGGCCACAAGGGGACUGAGAUACGGCCCUUACUCCUACGGGAGGCAGCAGUGGGGAAUAUUGGACAAUGGGGGCAACCCUGAUCCAGCAAUUCUGUGUGCACGAUGAAGGUUUUCGGAUUGUAAAGUGCUUUCAGCAGGGAAGAAAAAAAUGACGGUACCUGCAGAAGAAGCGACGGCUAAAUACGUGCCAGCAGCCGCGGUAAUACGUAUGUCGCAAGCGUUAUCCGGAAUUAUUGGGCAUAAAGAGCAUCUAGGCGGCCAGAUAAGUCUGGGGUGAAAACUUGCGGCUCAACCGCAAGCCUGCCCUGGAAACUAUGUGGCUAGAGUACUGGGGAGGUGGACGGAACUGCACGAGUAGAGGUGAAAUUCGUAGAUAUGUGCAGGAAUGCCGAUGAUGAAGAUAGUUCACUGGACGGCAACUGACGCUGAAGUGCGAAAGCUAGGGGAGCAAACAGG
rnacentral:rRNA from 1 species